rnacentral:rRNA from 1 species
UACGUAGGUGGCAAGCGUUAUCCGGAAUUAUUGGGCGUAAAGCGCGCGCAGGUGGUUUCUUAAGUCUGAUGUGAAAGCCCACGGCUCAACCGUGGAGGGUCAUUGGAAACUGGGAGACUUGAGUGCAGAAGAGGAAAGUGGAAUUCCAUGUGUAGCGGUGAAAUGCGUAGAGAUAUGGAGGAACACCAGUGGCGAAGGCGACUUUCUGGUCUGUGAACUGACACUGAGGCGCGAAAGCGUGGGGAGCAAACAGG